UUUUAUAACUCUGUGAGUUUGAGAAUCUGAACAACAGCAACCAUGAGCUUCAUCACCAUCUUCAUCUGGAUCUUCACGAGCUACUGUUUCACAGAAUCAGCAGCUGGAGUGACAGUCACUCAGACGCCUGCAGUGAAACCUGUUCAACCAGGAGACAAAGUUACCAUGUCCUGUAAAACCAGUCCUGAAGUUUACCAGGGUUUGGGUGUUCAGCCUUUACACUGGUACUUACAGAAACCUGGAGAAGCUCCUAAACUCCUGAUUUAUGCUGCAAACACUCUCCAGUCAGGAACUCCAUCUAGAUUCAGUGGCAGUGGAUCUAACAGUGAUUUCACUCUGACCAUCAGUGGAGUCCAGACUGAAGAUGCUGGACAUUAUUACUGUCAGAGUUACCACUGCAGAACAGAUUCUGAUGGUGAUUGUGUGGGUGAUGAUACAUUCACACAGUGAUAAAGCGUGGUACAAAAACCUGUGUCAGUCAGAGUCACAGUGACUGAACUGAUGCUGCAGCUGCUCAAACACUAUCACUCACUACUGACACACAGAGACCAAACACAGAACUACACAUGAGCUCACAACUGAGUCAGGAGUCAAAUCAGCUCUAUCAGACUGUGAUCUGUCCUGUGACAGACGGGCUUGACUCAACUAUAAUAAGAAAAAUUACAGUGUAUCAAUUCAUAAAAAACAAAAACAAUGGCACCAUAUUUCUCAGAUCCAGUGUUAUAGCAUUGUGUUUUUUUAUGUUUUGUAAAUUCAUUGUCUAUCACCAGCAACAUAAUCUUGAGCAGUUUCUCACUUAGCUCCUUCAUCUCAAGCUGAUAAUUCAUUUCUUACUCAUAACUCAUUUCUGAUGAGCAGAAGUGAAACUGUUCCAGUUCAGAGCGUUUAACCGAUCAAACAGAGAAACUGUGAGUUUGAGCUGAAAUCAGAUUUGCAUUGACAGCUUUAGUGAUUCUGAUGAUCUCAGAAUAGAGCAGCUCCGUCUCCAGAGACCAUGUUCAAACCCCAAGAGCUUCAGUUCACAUUUACUGCUAAACACAGCUGUUCUCAACUAUUACA